rnacentral:rRNA from 1 species
GACGAACGCUGGCGGCGUGCUUAACACAUGCAAGUCGAACGAAGAGCGACGGAAGCUUGCUUCUAUCAAUCUUAGUGGCGAACGGGUGAGUAACGCGUAAUCAACCUGCCCUUCAGAGGGGGACAGCAGUUGGAAACGACUGCUAAUACCGCAUACGAUCUAACCUCGGCAUCGAGGAUAGAUGAAAGGUGGCCUCUACAUGUAAGCUAUCACUGAAGGAGGGGAUUGCGUCUGAUUAGCUAGUUGGAGGGGUAACGGCCCACCAAGGCGAUGAUCAGUAGCCGGUCUGAGAGGAUGAACUGCCACAUUGGGACUGAGACACGGCCCAGACUCCUACGGGAGGCAGCAGUGGGGAAUCUUCCGCAAUAGACGAAAGUCUGACGGAGCAACGCCGCGUGAGUGAUGACGGCCUUCGGGUUGUAAAGCUCUGUUAAUCGGGACGAAAGGCCUUCUUGCGAAUAGUGAGAAGGAUUGACGGUACCGGAAUAGAAAGCCACGGCUAACUACGUG